GACGAACGCUGGCGGCGUGCUUAACACAUGCAAGUCGAACGAUGAACCCGGAGCUUGCUCCGGCGGAUUAGUGGCGAACGGGUGAGUAACACGUGAGUAACCUGCCCUUGACUCUGGGAUAACUGCGGGAAACUGUAGCUAAUACCGGAUACGACCCUCGGCGGCAUCGCCAGGGGGUGGAAAGAAUUUCGGUCAAGGAUGGACUCGCGGCCUAUCCGCUAGUUGGUGAGGUAACGGCUCACCAAGGCGACGACGGGUAGCCGGCCUGAGGGGGUGACCGGCCACACUGGGACUGAGACACGGCCCAGACUCCUACGGGAGGCAGCAGUGGGGAAUAUUGCACAAUGGGCGCAAGCCUGAUGCAGCAACGCCGCGUGAGGGAUGACGGCCUUCAGGUUGUAAACCUCUUUUAGUAGGGAAGAAGCGAAAGUGACGGUACCUGCAGAAAAAGCACCGGCUAACUACGUGCCAGCCGCCGCCGUAA
rnacentral:rRNA from 1 species